CCCUUAGAUGUCCGGGGCCGCACGCGCGCUACACUGAAGGAAUCAGCGUGGCUUUCUCCCUGACCCGAAAGGGUUGGGAAACCCGUUGAAUCUCCUUCGUGAUAGGGAUUGGGGCUUGAAAUUGUUCCCCAUGAACGAGGAAUUCCCAGUAAGCGCGAGUCAUAAGCUCGCGUUGAUUACGUCCCUGCCCUUUGUACACACCGCCCGUCGCUACUGCCAACUGAGAUGGGUCCUGAAUUGUUAGGAACGCCCGUCAAGGGGCCUACCCGGUCCCUAGUGCGGUGACGAGAAUAACUGUAAAUGGCAUAUCUUGUAGGGAGUAAAAGUCGUAACA
rnacentral:rRNA from 1 species